AUGACAUGCUCUCCCCUUACAACUCCCUGGGCAGCCCUGACCACGGGGUUCACUCAGGAGAAACCACCAUAUGAAAUCCAAAUUUAUCCGGGUUUUACUUGGAAACAGCCUCACCGGAAUGCAGAAGUGGAGCAAGAGAUGAGAGAGACCGUCUGGAACCCAUGUGCGUGCUGUUGCUCGGGGAGGGAGCCCAGGGAGGAAGCCAGGAGCUGCCGAGAUGAUCCAGACCCGGCAUCUCUCAUCAAGCCUGCACUGCUAGACUACUU
rnacentral:lncRNA from 12 species